rnacentral:ribozyme from 12 species
AUAGAAUGAACGAAAGCAUUUUGAUAAAGUAAACAUAAAAUAUAGAUUGUGUAUAAUUUUGGUGAGUUUUUUUGUGUUCCAAAUAAUUGUUGCGGUUUUGUUUGUGUUUCUUAUUUGGUAAACUUACUUGUGUAUCAUGAAA